rnacentral:rRNA from 1 species
UGGGGAAUAUUGCACAAUGGGCGCAAGCCUGAUGCAGCCAUGCCGCGUGUAUGAAGAAGGCCUUCGGGUUGUAAAGUACUUUCAGCGGGGAGGAAGGCGAUAAGGUUAAUAACCUUGUCGAUUGACGUUACCCGCAGAAGAAGCACCGGCUAACUCCGUGCCAGCAGCCGCGGUAAUACGGAGGGUGCAAGCGUUAAUCGGAAUUAGUGGGCGUAAAGCGCACGCAGGCGGUCUGUCAAGUCGGAUGUGAAAUCCCCGGGCUCAACCUGGGAACUGCAUUCGAAACUGGCAGGCUAGAGUCUUGUAGAGGGGGGUAGAAUUCCAGGUGUAGCGGUGAAAUGCGUAGAGAUCUGGAGGAAUACCGGUGGCGAAGGCGGCCCCCUGGACAAAGACUGACGCUCAGGUGCGAAAGCGUGGGGAGCAAACA